rnacentral:rRNA from 1 species
GAUGAACGCUGGCGGCGUGCCUAAUACAUGCAAGUCGAGCGAACAGACGAGGAGCUUGCUCCUCUGAUGUUAGCGGCGGACGGGUGAGUAACACGUGGAUAACCUACCUAUAAGACUGGGAUAACUUAGGGAAACCGGAGCUAAUACCGGAUAACAUGUUGAACCGCAUGGUUCAACAGUGAAAGACGGUUUUGCUGUCACUUAUAGAUGGAUCCGCGCCGCAUUAGCUAGUUGGUAAGGUAACGGCUUACCAAGGCAACGAUGCGUAGCCGACCUGAGAGGGUGAUCGGCCACACUGGAACUGAGACACGGUCCAGACUCCUACGGGAGGCAGCAGUAGGGAAUCUUCCGCAAUGGGCGAAAGCCUGACGGAGCAACGCCGCGUGAGUGAAGAAGGUCUUCGGAUCGUAAAACUCUGUUAUUAGGGAAGAACAAAUGUGUAAGUAACUAUGCACGUCUUGACGGUACCUGAUCAGAAAGCCACGGCUAACUACGUG